rnacentral:tRNA from 2 species
GCCGGCAUGGUGGAAUGGUAGACACGAGGGACUCAAAAUCCCUUGGCCGCAAGGCCGUAAGAGUUCAAGUCUCUUUGCCGGCAACA